rnacentral:rRNA from 1 species
UGGGGAAUUUUGGACAAUGGGCGCAAGCCUGAUCCAGCCAUGCCGCGUGCGGGAAGAAGGCCUUCGGGUUGUAAACCGCUUUUGUCAGGGAAGAAAUCUUCUGAGUUAAUACCUCGGGAGGAUGACGGUACCUGAAGAAUAAGCACCGGCUAACUACGUGCCAGCAGCCGCGGUAAUACGUAGGGUGCAAAGCGUUAAUCGGAAUUACUGGGCGUAAAAGCGUGCGCAGGCGGUUUUGUAAGACAGAGGUGAAAUCCCCGGGCUCAACCUGGGAACUGCCUUUGUGACUGCAAGGCUUGAGUGCGGCAGAGGGGGGAUGGAAUUCCGCGUGUAGCAGUGAAAUGCGUAGAUAUGCGGAGGAAACACCGAUGGCGAAGGCAAAUCCCCUGGGCCUGCACUGACGCUCAUGCACGAAAAGCGUGGGGAGCAAAACAGGAUUAGAUACCCUGGUAGUCCACGCCCUAAAACGAUGUCAACUGGUUGUUGGGAAAGGUUCCUUCUCAGUAACGUAGCUAACGCGUGAAAGUUGACCGCCUGGGGGAGUACGGCCGC